CGAUGAAACAGGGGUGCUCAUAAUCGCCUUACAAAACAUUUACUAAUUGUUUCGAUUGUUUCAGCUAUAUUGCAUCGACAUGUAUGUCAAAAUAGAAACGGAACGUUUCACAUUUAUUAGGUUGAACCAAGCAAAAUUGUCGUGCUAUAUAGAUUUAGGUGAAUUAAAGUAAAGUGUAGUUUAAUUACUAAUGCCGUGACCAAGACAAUCGAAUCUUUCCCGACAAAUCUGUAACGCAAGAGGGAUACGAAAAACUGCAAUGGAAAGAAAGAACAUGAAAUUGUGGUUUAUAUUUCUUAGAUGUCAUUUUCACCAGGGAACAGAUAUUCUUCUGCAAGCAACGAAACCAGCGCAAUAAAUUCAUCGGGAAAUAGAGAAGUAACGGUGAAGCCUAUGAAAGUGUUUGUGCUGAAAAGUGUUUUUCUGUUAUGUCAAUGCAGCGAGCAAAAACAAAAAUAAAUUCAUAUAUUUGGUUUGUCAUUGUCAUGGGCGACACAUUAUCAUCUAAAAGUAUAGGUAUAAUUCUGCUGGUGAUUACAAUUACAAUCCGCCAAAAGAUACAAAUUACUUACCUACAGCUGCAUUACCACCGAUUUCUGCAUAUGGUCCCCCUCCAGACUCUACCGGAGGAGGCUAUGAUUACCAUCCCCCCAAAGACAAUAGCUAUUUACCACCUGGACCGGCUUACGGUCAUCUACCAGUAUUUAAUUCGGAACAACCUCCAUAUUAUCAGCCAGUUCAUUCUAUUCCAUAUAAUUCACACAUAACAUUUUUAGAUAAAUUAAAAUCUAAAAUAAGUCUUUUUACCCUCGGAAAAAUAAUUUUAAAAUUAUUGAUUUUUAAGAAAAUAGUUAAAUUUAUUGGAAUAAUUUGUCUGCUAUUAGUAUUACCAAAAUUAAAAAGUGUAUUUGCAGAUAAUACAAGUAGUGAAUAUGAGGGCAUGAACAGCAAAAACGUUGAGUCUGAUAAAGAAAAAUUGGAAAGGCAAAUUAAUGAGAUUUAUGAAUUUAUAACUAAAUCGCUUGAAGAUUUUGAAAAUGCAUAUACAUAAGUUUUAAAAUCCUAUUCUAAAAUGCCCAUGCUUAUAUUUCAUAAAGUAUUAUUUAUUUAUUAAAAUAUAUUUCAUAUGAA